rnacentral:rRNA from 1 species
CUACGGGGCGCACCAGCUAGGGAUACUUUACACUACACGCAAGUGUGAUAAGGGGAGCCCAAGUGCUAACAUCUUUUUGGUGUUAGCUUUUGUCAAGUGCAAAAACCUUGGUGAAUAAGUGAUGGGUAAGACCGGUGCAGCCGCCGCGGUAACCCCGGCGUCACAAGUGGCGAUCGAAUUAUUGGGUCUAAAGCGUUUUACAGCCGGUUUGAAAAGUCUUUUGUGAAAGCGUGGGGCUUAACUUCACGGUGUGCAAAAGAUACUUUAAAACUUGGAACUGGGAGAAGGUAGAGGUACUCUUUGGGGAGCGGUAAAAUGCUAUAAUCCUUAGAGGACCACCAAUGGUGAAGGCAUCUACCUAGAACGGGUUCGACGGUGAAAAACGAAAGCUAGGAGAACGAUCGGGAUUAGAUACCCCAGUAGUC